rnacentral:lncRNA from 1 species
GAUAAUACGGAUGUAUCUAUACCUCUAUCUUAUCCAUCAAAUAGAAAGAUUGACUUUUGACCCCUAGAUCCUCUUCCUUCAAUUCAACCCUAACUAUAUGAAGUUUCUAAGUAUAAAAAUUUAAAGCUAAAUGAGCGACAACGAGCUCAGCUACUUGAUUUAUCUGUUGUGAUGGCUGUGACAACAAGCUCAAUUGAAUGAGUGACAAAUAACUGAAAUGUUGAUCUUUACAUGCCAACACCCUCA